AAUAUUGCACAAUGGGGGAAACCCUGAUGCAGCGACGCCGCGUGAGUGAAGAAGUAGNNNGGUAUNUAAAGCUCUAUCAGCAGNGAANAAAAUGACGGUACCUGACUAAGAAGCUCCGGCUAACUACGUGCCAGCAGCCGCGGUAAUACGUAGGGGGCAAGCGUUAUCCGGAUUUACUGGGUGUAAAGGGAGCGUAGGUGGUUCGGCAAGUCAGAUGUGAAAGCCCGGGGCGCAAACCCGGGACUGCAUUUGAAACUGUCGUACUAGAGUGCAGGAGAGGUAAGUGGAAUUCCUAGUGUAGCGGUGAAAUGCGUAGAUAUUAGGAGGAACACCAGUGGCGAAGGCGGCUUACUGGACUGUAACUGACACUGAGGUGCGAAAGCGUGGGGAGCAAACAGG
rnacentral:rRNA from 1 species